UACGAAGGGGGCUAGCGUUGUUCGGAAUUACUGGGCGUAAAGCGCGCGUAGGCGGUGAUCUUUGUCAGAGGUGAAAUCCCGAGGCUCAACUUCGGAAUUGCCUUUGAAACGGGAUCGCUUGAGUCCGAGAGAGGAUGGCGGAAUUCCUAGUGUAGAGGUGAAAUUCGUAGAUAUUAGGAAGAACACCGGUGGCGAAGGCGGCCAUCUGGCUCGGUACUGACGCUGAGGAGCGAAAGCGUGGGGAGCGAAAAGG
rnacentral:rRNA from 1 species